GGAUUGUGGCUCAGUGAUAGAGCGCUCGCCUAGCACGUGCAAGGCCCUGGGUUCAAUCUUCAGCACCA
rnacentral:tRNA from 1 species